rnacentral:lncRNA from 1 species
GAAAAUUCUCAGGGACAGAGCCAGGCCUCAGUGGCAUGUGUGUAGAGGGAGAUGCACCUGUCUAUCUGAGGGUAGAUUUUUGAUCCCUGAACAAUUCAUUGACUACCCUUUCUCUCUUCCAUCCAGUUAAAUAAAAUAUCUACCACUGUAAAUUGUGAUGGUAGCUUCUCUCUCAGUUGUUUCUAUUUUGUAAAUCACUGCAUGACCAAAAUAGCCCCCACUCAAAAUCGAUUGGGUCAAUUUUAGUGAUUAGUUGGAUGAAUAUUCUUGAUGAAUAUAAUACGUGUUUUCCUUCACUGAUGACACCACUAACCUAUCGGCCAUAGCACAGGUGUAUUUUUUUUUUUUUUUACUGCUAUUUGAUAAAUGGUAGUGAUGGAUUUGCACUUUUCUGUCCACAUACUCUUUCCUGUUUUUCUCUUUGGACAAUCGCUUCCAGAAUGAUGGAUGCCAGGGUUAAGGGUGAAGUCUGUAACCGAGGAAAACAAAGUUGACCGCUCAAAUAAGCAUGUGACCCAGAGCUUUAGCCUCCUGGGUGGACUCUAAACCAGUUGAGCUAGCUUAGUGGGUUGUGUGCAUGUCUGGAAAGAUUAAAAUUUAUUGUUUAGAAACCAAGGUUGUAGGUUUGAUCUUUGAAAAAGCCCUGGGAUCUUACAAAAAAAAACCCAGAAAUUCUGUUCUUUCUAUGUGCGUAAGGAGGAAUGAGGGAAGAGAAUUUGGAGAUUCAGCACAAAACCAUUGCUACUACUACUGGAAAAAAUCUUUAGAAAAUGUCUUAGUAACUGAGGUCAGUAAUGUCAUCUUCAUAUAUGAAGGACAUAUACAUGAUACAUUGUUCACAGAAAUAGAAAUGUAUAAUUGGUUGUGAUAAAUGUUUCACUUGAUCUUCCUAUAAGGCUUUUAUUUUUGCUUCUGUUUUUCAAAGUCAGCAAAACUUAUGUGUUUAUGUCAUCAGUAAAUCAUAAUCAAGAAUAGGAGAUAAGUUGAUAAGUUCAAUUAAUAUUAAGGUGACAUGGCAAUAUUGAUAACUCGAAUGUGAAUGUUUCAAGUAUUGAAUUUUUGUCCCUAUGGGACAUUUAUUAAAUAUGCUUAAUAGGACUCUUGCAAAGUAGCCUUAAAAGUGUUAAUGAUUCUGUUAAUAAAUAUGAACACAUCCUAUUAUUAUAACCAACUUUACUCAUAUCUCAAAUACAGUACAUUUAUGUAAUUUUAGAAGAUGAAGCUCCAAUUUCUUAUUAGGUGUAUUUUUCUUUAGAAAGAGAACCCUGAAAGCUGCCAGUUUUUCUAGUAAACCUUGAAUUAUUGGAAUUGUAUUUAUUUAAUUUUAUUGUUUUUACAAAAAUGCACCUUGUGGCCAAAGGGCAAAGUUAUGACUCAUUACAUAAGGGAUUUAUGUUUUCUGAAGAGCUAAAUGUUUUCGUAUCCAUACUAUAUACACUUGAAACAGUUGGUAGGAAGAGAACCUGUUGGAAAAAUAUGAUUUUCAAAAGUAAAUAUUCCUCUGGAUGUUUUUAUAUUAAUUAAGCUUUGGAAUAGAACAGCAAUGGCUUUCAGUUAGAAUAUGGAUGAAAAGGGGGCUGAAGGUGCCCUGCUUUGCUUAUUUGUUUCUGUGGGGAUUUAUUUAAUACCAUGACCGACAAUAGCUUCUGCUUCACUAAGAGAGUAAAAAUAGUCCCACAAAUAUAAAACUCCUAAAGAGCUAUUUUUUAAAUAAAAAUGUUUAAAUUUUGUAAAUCACUUGAUGCCGCAACACAACCAUGAUGCCACGUGCUUAUAACAGUUUUAUACCAUUCCGUGUGUGCUUCCCUAACAGUCAUGAGUUGAUAAUAAAGGAAGUGAUAAAAAAUACAGCAAUGAAAAAUAAAAUCUCCAUGUUUGUAGGAAAGGUUUUGGAAGGAAAAUUGACCAGAACUCAGUAUGUCCUGCAAAGUACAGCCAGUUAUAUCAUGUCCUUCACCCUCAUCCCCAUGCCUACUGGGAUCCUCACCAAUAAUAGUUCACUGAUUAGAAAAACAGGAGUAAGUACUUUUUCCAAUGUUGUUUGCCUAUGCAAAUGUUUGUUUUACUUUAAUGUCCUCCACUUACACUUCUCAGCAAAUGUAGUUUCAGACAAAUGCUUUUACUUUUUUCAUUUUUCCCUUGGUUUGGGGUAUGUAAAUAGCCUAAAAUGUACAUUGAAUUUCACAUUGUAAAAGUUUUAUUUUAUUCCUUGUAUUAUAUUAAGCAAAAAUCCCUAUGUAUAUGAAAGUGCAUAAUAAAUAUAUUUGCUUUACAGAGG